UGGAAGUAAAAAUCGUAACAAGGUCUCCGUAGGUGAACCUGCGGAGGGAUCAUUACAAGAACGCCCGGGCUUCGGCCUGGUUAUUCAUAACCCUUUGUUGUCCGACUCUGUUGCCUCCGGGGCGACCCUGCCUUCGGGCGGGGGCUCCGGGUGGACACUUCAAACUCUUGCGUAACUUUGCAGUCUGAGUAAACUUAAUUAAUAAAUUAAAACUUUUAACAACGGAUCUCUUGGUUCUGGCAUCGAUGAAGAACGCAGCGAAAUGCGAUAAGUAAUGUGAAUUGCAGAAUUCAGUGAAUCAUCGAAUCUUUGAACGCACAUUGCGCCCCCUGGUAUUCCGGGGGGCAUGCCUGUUCGAGCGUCAUUUCACCACUCAAGCCUCGCUUGGUAUUGGGCAACGCGGUCCGCCGCGUGCCUCAAAUCGUCCGGCUGGGUCUUCUGUCCCCUAAGCGUUGUGGAAACUAUUCGCUAAAGGGUGUUCGGGAGGCUACGCCGUAAAACAACCCCAUUCUAAGGUGACCUCGAUCAGAGGANC
rnacentral:rRNA from 1 species